UACAACUCUUGUGCCGUGGAUCACUCGGCUCGUGUGUCGAUGAAGAGCGCAGCCAACUGUGGGAAUUCAUGUGAACUGCAUGCUCAUUUGAACAUCGACUUCUUGAACGCAAAUUGCGGCCACGGGUUUUCUCGUGGCCACGUCUAUCCGAGGGUCGGUUU
rnacentral:rRNA from 1 species